UGAGGAAUAUUGGUCAAUGGGCGAGAGCCUGAACCAGCCAAGUAGCGUGCAGGAUGACGGCCCUAUGGGUUGUAAACUGCUUUUAUGUGGGGAUAAAGUGCGUGACGUGUCAUGCAUUGCAGGUACCACAUGAAUAAGGACCGGCUAAUUCCGUGCCAGCAGCCGCGGUAAUACGGAAGGUCCGGGCGUUAUCCGGAUUUAUUGGGUUUAAAGGGAGCGUAGGCUGUCUAUUAAGCGUGUUGUGAAAUUUACCUGCUCAACCGGUGGCUUGCAGCGCGAACUGGUCGACUUGAGUAUGCAGGAAGUAGGCGGAAUUCAUGGUGUAGCGGUGAAAUGCUUAGAUAUCAUGACGAACUCCGAUUGCGCAGGCAGCUUACUGUAGCAUAACUGACGCUGAUGCUCGAAAGUGCGGGUAUCAAACAGG
rnacentral:rRNA from 1 species